rnacentral:rRNA from 1 species
AAAGUAGGGGAUCGCAAGACCUUGCGCUNNUGGAGUGGCCGAUGCCUGAUUAGCUAGUUGGUGGGGUAAGGGCCUACCAAGGCGACGAUCAGUAGUUGGUCUGAGAGGACGACCAGCCACACUGGGACUGAGACACGGCCCAGACUCCUACGGGAGGCAGCAGUGGGGAAUUUUGGACAAUGGGCGAAAGCCUGAUCCAGCAAUGCCGCGUGAGUGAAGAAGGCCUUCGGGUUGUAAAGCUCUUUCAGUCGAGAAGAAAAGGUCGCGACUAAUAAUCGCGACUCAUGACGGUAUCGACAGAAGAAGCACCGGCUAACUACGUGCCAGCAGCCGCGGUAAUACGUAGGGUGCGAGCGUUAAUCGGAAUUACUGGGCGUAAAGGGUGCGCAGGCGGCUUUGUAAGUCAGAUGUGAAAUCCCCGGGCUUAACCUGGGAAUUGCGUUUGAAACUACAAGGCUAGA